rnacentral:rRNA from 1 species
UGUGCGAAAGCAUGAUAAGGGAACUCCGAGUGCCAGUAUCUAAUACUGGCUGUCCUUGUGCCUAAAACGCACAAGAUAGCAAGGGCCGGGUAAGACCGGUGCCAGCCGCCGCGGUAACACCGGCGGCCCGAGUGGUAGCCGCUAUUAUUGGGUCUAAAGGGUCCGUAGCCGGUUCGAUAAGUCCUCUGGGAAAUCUGGUUGCUUAACAAUCAGACUGCCAAGGGAUACUGUCGAACUUGAGACCGGGAGAGGUAAGAGGUACUUCAGGGGUAGGAGUGAAAUCUUGUAAUCCCUGGGGGACCAUCUGUGGCGAAGGCGUCUUACCAGAACGGGUCUGACGGUGAGGGACGAAAGCUGGGGGCGCAAACCGGAUUAGAUACCCGGGUAGUCCCAGCCGUAAACGAUGCUCGCUAUGUGUCAGGUACGGUGUGACCGUAUCUGGUGCCGUAGGGAAGCCGUGAAGCGAGCCACCUGGGAAGUACGGCCGCAAGGCUGAAACUUAAAGGAAUUGGCGGGGGAGCACUACAACGGGUGGAGCCUGCGGUUUAAUUGNUUUCCAACGCCGGAA